CCCCCGCGGUGUAGACCCUGCGAUAACUCGACCUAAGGUACGUAUGUGAAUAACAUAGCUGGAGUUGCGUAGCAUAGGUCAACUUAUCGCGGUAGUAUAGACAUAGCCUCAGAUGGACUCUUCAGAUGUAAAUUAGAUUCUCUGUCCCUGAGAGAUUAGAGGAGAUUAACUUGCUGCCCUGCCCAACUUUCCCAGUUAGGAAUCUUGAACACCUAGCCAGGGUCACAGCAUGAGAUAACCAGCCCUCCCCAGAGCAUGUCCUCUCCCCUCCCCCAAACAUGGCCCAUAGCCCGCCCACCAGUGCUGGGAAGGGACCAGAGCUACUAAAACCCCAUGCUGAGGGACUGCCCCCUUGAUCAGUGAGACGCAGAUGGGGGUGUGCAUAGUUUGGGGUAUAGCCAUGUGUCUCUUGGGAGCAUGCCAAGCAGAUGCUAAAAUAACCCAAACACCAAGUCUGGUGCUGGAGAGGGGACACCCUGCCUAUCUGAGAUGUCAACAGUUCUAUGGGCACAGCAAUAUGUUCUGGUACCGACAGGAUCCAGGUCAGGGAAUGCAGUUCCUCAUUCAUUUCUACAACAAAGAACAAAAUGAAAAAGGAAAGAUUACUGAUCGCUUCCAGGCCGACCAGCCGCGGGAUGAUCUUUUUCGCUUGAACAUCUCGUCUGUGCAGCCAGAGGACUCAGCUGUGUAUUUCUGCGCCAGCAGCUUAGACACAGUGCUUCAGAGUCCCCUCCUCCCUCUACAAAAACCUCAUCCUGUUCCUUGUCUCUCUGCAGCCCCAGCACAGGAAGCGGCAGGCUGGCUGCCACCAUAUGGAAGCAACAGGGCUAAUUCUCUGUGGGUGCUGGAGGGAAGUCUCAGGGAGAGGGAAGGGGGAGCCAGCUAGGAUACACACCUGCCAUGCGCAUAGGCAGUCAUGUGAGAAUAACAAUAUUUUGCCUUUGC